rnacentral:lncRNA from 1 species
AUCUUGAAAACGGAAAAUAAAAACAGCAGACCUAUGAAGGUCGAAGGGGAAGAAAAGCUGUAUCGAUUGUUGAGAUCUGGCGACUUGUUUAAAUUUCAUCAGCCUCACUUCUAUGAACUCUCAGGCCUCACGUGUACCAGCUCUCUGCUCUCCUUUGCCUUGGGACGUUCCAUCCCUGGAAGUUUCCCUGCCCACAUCUUUGUAGAGAGUCCAUUCUCCAAGCUUCAGUGUGUCAUCUGUGAGGACCGUGACCCACCUGGUACAUCGCCUCAGGGCAUUCAUUUCAGGCUCCUUCUAAAUGGCCAAGUUUUCAAGAUUGUUUUGGCUCUAGCAAAACAAGUUGGAACAUUCACAUCAUCCAAGACAACACCAACAUUUUUGUAAUGGCCUGCAAGGCCUUCCGAGAUCUACCUCCUGCAACUCAGCUUCUCCUGUGCUCUCCUUCUGGACUCACUCUGCCUCAGCAACACUGGUCCCUGUUGCCCCACCAAUAUGCCAGGUAAACCUCAGGUUCUCCUCCUGCCUUUUGCUAAGUAUAUGUCUUGAUGACAAGCCUUCUGCUGAUGAGCUGUGUUUCUGGACCGAUCAUGGUAGAAGUCAAUUAACGUGUCCCUCACUUGGGGUUUCUCAAGGCUGCACUGAUGAGGAAACUGAAACAGAAAAUCCAGAGUAAAUUCCACCAGGCCACACAGCAAGGUCUGAUAGAGCCAGGAGAGACUUUAUGAAAUCCAGACUCUCACACUAAUGCUCUAUCAGCUAGACCUCCAUGUGAGUCUCCCCAAUGUAGGUAGGAAGUGCUUUCCCUAAAAUGCUCAUAAAGCAAAUCAGAGCAAUGCUGCAUUCCAUGUGAUUUCUAAUUUGAAAUGCAAACAAUUGCCAAUUUGUUUGACUUGUAUUUAUAAUUAUUUCCUUGUGAAUUACUCAUCACUAAAUGCUUUAUAAAUAUUUUCUCUUUUUUUCCUCAAUGUCUAUGGAAUGAUCACAGCAUAGAAAAUGUUGGCUUUCAAGGAUUUAUUAAUAUCUCCUUUUGAAAUAACAUGUAUUUGUAAGACAGAAUAAAAUCACUUUAAAGAAACAAA